GAUUCUUUCGGGGACAUUCGAGAAAAUUAAAACAACACAUAAAAGAUUAACAUGGCUUUUGUGCAAAGAUAACACACAAAUUGAAAAUUAGUCCAAAAUAUUU